rnacentral:lncRNA from 1 species
CAAAUUCUGGUCAACAAAGGACUGCUCUCAAUCUGAACUGGCAAGAUAGAGGGAAGUGCUUUGAAGACUGGGAAACUCUGAAAAUCCUUUCGAAGGCAAAAUUAAUGACCUAGAGACUGCUUCUUUCAGAAAGAGGAAGGCAGACACCACAAAGGCAAAUCUUUUUAGGAGCUAAGAAGGUAAGUACAUGGGAGAUGAAAGCAAGGUGACAUGGGCA